UCUGCUGAAUUACAGCAAAAACCAACUGCCAGAGCAUUUUUCUGAGUGCUUGCCUGGGAUCCUGCUAACUGUGCUGAGAUCCUCUGAGAAAAGGCACUACCAAAUAAUAAAAAAAUACAAAACUCUUGGAUGUUUAGUAGUAUGUUUUUAUGGGGCAUGUGUAUGACCAUCAUGAUUUUUUUGAAGGCAUCACAGCUUAAACGUUAAGGCAAAAAUUUAUUCUAGCUAGAUUUUAAAACAAACGAGGUUAAUUAUAGAUUACAUAUGUAUUAUUUUUUCAGACUUAACUACUUACUUGGUGUUCAUUGUAAACAGCUUUUCUAUAUCUAAGGAGAUUAUAAUACAAGAGAAGUUUCUGAAGUGCGGAAGACUCCUGUGAAAUAACUACUCUGUAACAUCUGCCACAAUAUUUUACAAAUGUGAGGGCAUCUUGAUCAUCCUUUGAAGACUGUAAAAUUAGUCUCCUUGUAUGCUGCUGGUAGCAUGCUUCAUGUCACCAAAAUGACAUCCUGCAAUAUCUUUGUCUCUUGCUCACUGUGUCUGAACUUGAUACCAGUGUAAAUACUAAUUUCUGUUUAGUCAGAGUAAACAGAAGAGCUUACAUCAGUGUGAUCUAUAUCUACUUUAUAUAACAGGAAAAGUGAUCAGGUACUGUACGGUACCUUACAUUACAUAAUCACUUGUGUAAUUUAGUGUUCCAGAAUUAGUCAGCUCACAUUAUUACCCAGUGAAAAGGAAAGAAAAAUGAUGAAGGGAAUGAGAGGAUUUUAUUUGGUUUUGAUGUCCUUGUAUUUUGUAUCUAAAAAGGCAGACAAAACUUUCCCUUUGAAGCAUGCUCUAAAAUACAACUUGAAAACUUAUUUUACCAUAUAGUUGUUUGUUGGUCAAUAAAACAUAGAUUAAGUGAUCAACUCUUACAAGGAACCACUUUUGAAAAUAAGUAAAACUUCCAGUUACCAGGUCUGCAAACGCACUGUGGGUUCAGAGAGUCAGGCUGAAUCUUUUUCCCACACUGGUACACUAAAUUUUCUGCAAGUAAUUCCUUUGCUUCAGCUCACUGGAAUUUAGUAAAUAAUUUGGUCGUGCCCAAGAAGGAAUAAAAUUCAGCUUAGGCUCUUAGCAAUGUUGGCUCUGCAGGCAUUGCAGGGGUAUCACUGAUGAUUUAUUUUUUAUGACCAAACAUAGCAGACACUUAUGUUUGCAAUGCAUAAGACAAGAAAAGCUACAGGAUGCACUAACUGUGGUAUGGUUCAUGCUGUUACUGUUCCCCAGAUAAACAGCCACACCUAAGUUUUAGACUGUGUUUUAUCCAAGUUUACAUGUUUUAGUUUCUUAAACAAAAAUGCACUGUAACUAUACAAUCUCAGAACACAGAAGAGAAAUCUGAAAAUGAAGCCUGCAGGGAAACAACUGGGAAGGGCAGAAAGGUUUGGGGUUCUCAAUUUUUUCCUUAGUGAUCCCAAAGAGGGAAUGUUGGGUGUCUUGAUAAUGCAUGCAUCUGUCCGCUUUCUGGCUUUUUUUUAGCUUUGCAGCUGGAACACAAAACCCCUUUGUGCUGUUAUUAAUGGAGAAAUUUAUGUUUGCCCUUGAGUUUUAAAGAAUAUUAGAUUCAUAAAGUGUACUUAAAAUAUAUUUGAAUUUUCAGUAUAGUAUGUUAAAAUUAACACUUUAAAGCUUAAGAGAUUAUGUUUAAAAUUGUCUAGAAUGAUGUUACAGAGAGAACUAGGGUCACUUCUGAAGCUGUAAUGUUUGGCUCUGCAUAGAAGCAGCUGGAGCAUAAAUGAAGUAGACAUGGUUUUUAUGAACACAAGCUUUUUAAGCUUCUGAAGAGCUAUAGCAAUUCCUUUUUUUAAGGAGGGACUUAUUAACAUAACUGCUGCAGAUGAUUUAGGACAAAGAAAGGUGAGGGAAUAGCCAGAAGCUUAAAGUGGCAGGAUUUCGUAAUACUACUCUAUUGUCUUCUAGCUAUGCAACCUUUGGGUUCCUUUAUCAAGGUAACUUGUAAAUCAGUUUUUCUUUCCAGUAAGAACCCACAGUGUUUGGGUAGAAUUCCUGCCUGGAUGGCUGUCAAAUGACAAAGCUGACUGAUACCUUUAGGGGACCAGGACAGAGGUUGAAGUUACUGUAUAGAGAAGAGCAAGGAGCAGAGGCAGGGAGGGCUCCUGAAAAGUGAGUAGUAUGCAGUGGGCUGUAAAUGCCAGUAAGCUGAGAGGAUGAAAUUUGUCUGGCUGUCCGUGCCUGUGCAUGUGUUUGUUCCAGCAGGCAGUGAAGAAAGAGAUGUGGAGCAAACACCAGAGGGACAGCAGGACCACCACAGCCUUCUGAUUUUCAAAAAUAUUUCUAAUGCGCUAUUUCUAGACAUCUGAAGUGAAAGGUUAAAGAGGCUCUGAGAAGCUCUCUGUAGAGUAGCUAUAAAGUGACAACUGGUGUUUUACAAAUUCCACAGUAAACAACUCAGAUUUUGCCUAUUAAAAGUGAGACAUUUCAUGUUGAUGCAUCUCUUCUUGUCCUAAAUUAUUUUGAUGUAGUAUGCAGCUCUCCGUAGUGUAAAACUUUGAAGCUAUUUAGAAGCACCUAAGUGGCAAUGUCUGUUCAGGACAGCAGUUGUAGGCGGCUACUCUAAUGCCUGUGUCCAUGGAUCUUCACAGCACUUCAGGGAAACUCAGUGAAAUGGCAAAGCGAGGUUGAGGCAUAGAAACGGUGCAGGAAUUCUGGCAAGAAAAUUAACUUCUUGCAAAUUCCGUGCCUUGAUCAUGGAAGCAUGUUUCUGGGUGGUGUAGCCUGAUGACACCAUGGCAUAGGAAACUCUAAAAUAGUCUGGAAUGAUCAAAAUUUGGUAGUUGUCAUGCUGAUAAGCCAGCUGUUCAAAAAUAACUUGUUUUAUUGGUGUAGCUGCCAGUGUCCACUGGCGACCUGUGUAUUGGUAAAGGGUACCUGACACUCAGGCUAUGAAACAGAGUAGUGGUGGUGGUGUUAGUGUUGUAGCUUAGUUGAUGGGUUUUUUGUUUAAUUUAGGAACAAUAGAUAUCUUCCUACCAACAAUAACUAUUCAAUUCUGUGUUCAUAGCUCUAGUUGUUGGGAAGAUGCGAGUUGUGUACCUGUCUUUUUAGCUAUCAUAUGGUUCUAUUUGCUGAAGAGCGAAAGGAAAAAUAUUUACUAUAAAUAAUCUACACUUAUGCACCCAGUUUAGAAAUUCCCAGCCUGCAGCUCCUUAGAAAAGCUGGUUGCAUUCAGUAUGUUUAUUGCUUUUUCUCCUCUUCAUUCUGACUUUGUCUUUUUUUUAACUGCCAGUGCCUGUAAAUCUGUAGCCAACAGCUGAUGUUGGCUGUAUCUUGUUUUUGAUAGAAGCUGACUAGACUUGUGGAACUGGGAAGCAGUUGCCCUGAAGUUGCCAAUAAUGCAAGAACCUAGAGGAGUCUGAGAGAUCUCCAUGGUGCUCGGUGUUGCAAUGCCAAAGCUUCCCCUGUUUUGCUGACUGUUAAAGAACCAUGCUUUCCUAUUCUUCCUAUCUUAAGAAGCUCCUAAUUAUAGGCUUAUUCUGGCAAGACCAGUAGAUGUGACACACUAAGCAAGCCACUAUAUUUCCUGGAUUUCUACAGUGGAUCCAGCUUCAGAAUUGCCAGUACUAGACUGAAGAAAUGGUGUAAAAAAGUAUGCAAGCAGGAGCCACAAUAAUACAGUAAUAAAAAUUCCGUUCUCACAGUAAUAAAUUUAUCAUAGAUAACUUAGUGCAGAAGACCUGCAAGACAAGGAGGGAUAGGCUUGCCAUAGAAAUGGAUUAGUAAGAAGAAAGAUUUUUCUGAAUAUUAUGAGCAGCCCACACUGCCUCUAAAAAUGGUGUGAUGUGUUGUUGAUCCUACUCAUGAGUCUGGCAGUAAAUUCUGAAUAAUGCAUGUACCUGAGACUUUGUCCUCAACAAAAUUUAUAUGUCUUCUUUGUGCAGCUAAUGGAAGGGUAAGGAGCUAUUGCUACUGCUCCUGAAUACUGCUUUUCAACGAGGUGGUAUUUAGAACAGCAGAAUUUGACAAAUAAAUUAGGAAUAUGGGACAAUUUCUGACUUGAUGAAAUUUAAAUAAUUCAUGAUUGUUUACACUCAAGACCUGUGGAAUGGUGGCAUGCCUCAGCUGGACUAGGCAAAAGUGCCUGUACAUGCUUGGAACUGGUGUUUUCCUUUUGAUAGGAGGUUGGACAAGGCAGCAAAGAUUCCUUUGUUUUGCCAGGGAAAGCACAACACUCCUUGAAAGGACUUCCUUUUUAUGUUCCUUGUUGAACUGAAUUAGGUGGGAAUACAGUGCUUGACUAGGAAGCUCACAAUGGCCUUUUUUCUUCAUUGUCUGUCUUUCUCGAGCCUACAGAUUUGCAAUGGCACACCAUAUUGAUCUUCCUUUGCCCCCGUGCUUCUGUUGGGACUUGUUAAUUAGCUCCUGAACAACUUCCCUUUCAUCUUUUGGGGGUAUUUGUCACACUUUGGGCACAGGCUUUUGUGUUGCUGCUCUGUGUCAGAUACUAUUCUGAAUAUGUCAAAAGCUGAGCAGAAAGCUAUUUUAAGUCUGAGUGCAGCUGUUGAUUUGAGAAUUUAAGAGUUGCUGUUAGACUACUCUUCCAGAGAUGCUUCAAGCCAUGCUACAUGUGGGCUUGGCAUCUAAGGAUCCCCAAAAUAUCUACUGGGCCAUCCGUUGCUAAAUUGUCUUGGAAGCUUGUUGUGUUGUCUUUUUUUUUAUUUUGUGUGUAAUGCCAUCAUUUCCACAUCUGCUAGUGGGAUCACCUUUCAAAUGCAUGACUAUUUUUCAUAGUAUGGGAAGAAUAUGGGAGGCUGUUCCUGCUUCGCUUGUGUAAGUUGUAACACCUUUUUGCUUUGAUGUUUCAAGAGUUAGCAAAGACAGACUACAUCAUGACAUAUUUUGGGAUGCACUAGUUCCAGUGACUUAGCUAAAAUGGACUGGAUGAACAGAUUUCCAACGCUGACAGUCAAAUUUGGGAGCUUUGCAGGAUUUCUCACAGGAGCAAGAAGUGGGAUGGCCACUGAAGCAAACAUGAUUCCAUGUUUAUGAAUGCUUCUCCCCACUGCAAAAUGGGCUACCUGAGGCUGUGUGACAGUGCUCAUGUGCUGAUGAGGUAACUGGUCAGGAUGCCUUUGGAGCAGCAAGGAGUACCCAGAGGUAAUGAUGAGUUCACACAGGUGACAAGUAACUUAGCAAGGAAAUGCCAGUGGGAAGACUGCCAGAAAGGUCAGCAGUCAGGAGUGUGUCUCGUCGACCUGACACACACAAAACUGUAGUGGGAUUACUUCCCUUAAAAAAGGAUUUGUACAAAAAAAAAAAAGGAAGUAUCUUCAUUCAGAGCAAGUUCAUUUUAAUAAGACUUCACCAAGAAGUAGUACAGUACACCACUAGAAAACCAGGUGAAUAGUACUUAAGUAUUUCAUUGCGUAUGUAUAUAAAGAAACAAGAAGCUGCUGCUAUUGGGCAAGCUAAUGUCAAGCUUCUAAGAUGACAUUGACAGAGGUAUUUAAAAGCUGAUUAAUUCACUGUGUCUGUGUUUGUUGACUCUUCGUGAUAUUAUUAUUAAAUAUUGUGGCUUUGGUUUUGCUUGUGGCACAAGUACUAGAGCUUUCACCUCUACUGCUAUGAAUCCUACUGCUAAAAAAUAUCAGUGCCCUAACUCCUGUAGAUCCAUCUUCUCCCAGUAAGGGAAUUACUGAGAGUUGCAUGUGGAGGUUUUCUGAAAAUACUAUGUGUGCCCUGAUUUGUUGUCAGAGUUGAAGGUGAAUCACAAUGUGCAGUACCAAACUUCUGCUUGUGAGCACAUAUGACAAUGUGUUUAGAGCUAUUGUCUUCGGAGCAGUACAUGUUUUAACUAGGUGGUCCAGAGACAGUAUUAGACUUACUAAGUGAUUGGUUUUGUAUGGUGAGUGUGACUGAGGAUCCUGUAUCUGGCAGUGGCUAUUACCUGUUUGGAGGUAAUAUUUCAGUUUAUAUUUUGUUCUUGUACUUUUCUGUAAUGGAGUUUGGUAUGUGCAUAUCAUUCUCAUUUAGAAGAUUAUACAGAGUGUACAUAGGAGUACAGAAGGCUUCUGUGUAAUGUAUCUUAUGCAACGUUUAUGCUUCCAUAAAGAUGCAAAUGUGUGCAGACACCUGCUUAUGCAGGACAUAACCUGUUUGUAUUAGCCAGCUAGCUCUAGGAAGUCUUACUACAAGAUUUGCGAGACGAAAUACAAUUUCUUAACAAAAGAAUGUCAAUAUGCAGUGUACUUAAGGACACCUGAAGCUUUUGUUUGUGUUGUAGCUGGGGGGUGGUGGUGGUGACAUUCAUUUGGCUGAGCAGGAGGGGCUACACGUUGUAAUCCUGACACAAGUCCUCUAGAGAACUACAGCGCUCACCAUGCCAGAUGACCUUUCAAGUAUUUCCUGUGUUCUUGUUGGAAAAGGUCAGCGAGUGAAAGGAAAGAGAGCUCAACACGAUGCAGUUUGCAGUGUGUUGAUAUCAGAACUUUGGGAUUUGCUUUUCUUAAGAAGCUAUUAGAAAUUUCCAGAAAGUUUGUACUGUGGUGUAUCUUUACAUAAUUUGUGCAGUGAUAAACUUUGUUUCCAGCUGCGUGGGCUGGUAAUAAGUACUUGAUCCAAUCAACAACUAACGUGUUGGAAGUUAAGCAGCUUGGCAACUGUAAGAAAAGAGUAUAUGUUAAAUGCUAAGUUCUGAUUUUUGCUGAGAUACCGCAAGCCACUAUCACAGACUUGUUCCUUUCAGCAUGCCCUGCUGUCCUUAUCACUGAUGAAUUACCUGUUACUCUACAAUCAGACAGCAUAGUCUGUCUAAAGACAUUAAAUAAGUAUGGUUGCUAUAGUAGAAAACCAGUAUUGUUAUCCGAGAUGACUGUUUUGGUUUUUAAGUUAUGUUAAAGAGGCAUUAAUCACUAAAAAUAAUGAGAAUAAACUUAUUGGAAAGAGAAGUUAGUUUGUGGUAUAAUGUGACAGCCAAGUCACAAGUUGUGUCAUCUUAAAAUUGUGCUAAUGUGUAUUUUGAAAAGGACAGUACUUAAUAGCUAUACCAAGGAAUGGAUUCUGGUUUACUAUGUGACUUAAAGUUGGUUUAAGCGUCUGGAAUGGAACAACUUCCCUUUAAUGUGUGAGCUAAACACAUUUCUUAAAAGACCUAUUGUCUUUCAGUCAUUUGACCUCAUCUGGCAAAUUUUCCUGUUUAUUUAGAAAACAUAGGCUACAAUUGCCAGUUUUGUCAUGUGAUGACUAACGCCAUCAUAAUAUAAUGGAAUAUUGUGUAAACAGAUCAAAAAGCGUACACUUCAAAAGAUUCAAGAAGGUGCCGAAUUUGCUAAAAGCAAAAGCAUUUUUCUCUCCUGCAGCUUUUUCUUCUUCAAAAAUAUCAUACUGGCUAUAUGAUCAUACUAUACAUCCAGCCAUUGUUUUCACAGUACUAGUUUGCUACAUAAUGAUCCAGUUGCUAGAGAGGGGAGUGUAUUAGCAUUCCAGCUUUAUACAUGUACAUUCUUUUUGUUGUUUUUAACAAGAAUCUCUAGGUUCCUAAUUAGGGAGGAAAGUGUGGAGAAACGCAUCUUAAACACACAAUGCACAAAAACAAAUACAAGGGACAACCUUGCCCCUGCAGCCCCUUUAUGUAGGGUUUGAUGAAAGGCACUCUUUAAGACCUUUUUAGGUAAUUUUGAUAGGUCAAUACUGGGAACCCAGACAUGUCACUCAGACCACAGCUUGUCUUGAGAGACAGACAGCCAUCCUGUGCACAUCAGAAUAUUUAGGGAGCAGAACAGCAUGUAUGUGGGAGGACAGAAAGCCACCUCUACAGGGUGAUCUGAUAGUUCCUAUUCUGAGCAAAUACCCAGCUCUUCCCGUGUGUUAGCAUGUGGAGGAUCAGCUGGGUGGCACAGCAUAGGGACUCCCUUGCUGUUGGCUCUCUUUUCAGAGCAGAUAAAAAAAGUAGGAGGAUCAAAGGCGGCAAAUAAAAUGAAGGGUGUUUUCUCUCUUUCAGUUUCUCCUGUAACCAUCCAAAUUCCCCAUUUUGAAAUGGUUGACUAUCUUGUCUUUGAUUAAAUCCUUUCCUUAGAUUUCUAUCCUAGUUUUAUCUUUGGCCUGCACUUGCUUUUGAAGUUUCAGCUGACUUCUUGAAUACAAAGCUAGCAAACAGCUCUAUUUCAACAGGGAGUUAUAUCGUUGAAAAGUUUAAUAGAUCACUUUGUCCUAAGGGAAAAGUUAUGAAACACCUAUCUUGAUUGGUGGCGAGGAUCCCAGAGAGUAAAUUAGCAGGUUAAAAGAGCUUGCUUUUUGCAUUGGGUUAGCCUGAAAUUAACACUAGAUGAACGGUAACAGAAGUUCUCCAAAAAAGGGUUGCUGUUUGAGGGUUAUUUGUGAAAGAAGGUCAAACACAAUAGCUGUAAGCCUCCAUGUAAAUCUGAUAGUUCCUAUUUAAAAGGAAAAAAAAUAAUUAGCAAAUCACAUACUUACCUAGCACUGUCUUGAUAGUGCACCCAUACAAUGUUGGAUGUAUGAGCAGACUAGCUCCUAAUAAUGAAAACAAAUGCACUAGGCAGGUGCAGAGGAGAACCAGGAGUGUAUUCCUUGUUUGCAUUUGUCCCAUCGACCACAGGAACAGCAGCUGUGGUGGCUCUACUGGGAUUUAUUUUAUUUUAGGAGAGUUUGGGAUUUGGAUUGUUUUAGUAAGGAAAGAUGUUUUAAUUCUAGAUCUCUUAGUGUGGCAAAGAAUUAGUUGAUGUGGUCAAAAGUUAUUAUACUUCAUUAUGUUCAAAUUACCCUGCUGUUAUUUAAAAGUCAAGCUUGCAAAGAGCUAUUGUAGAGAGUGAAUUGCUUCUUACUGUAUUUGUUGCCAUUUUAAUGACUGAGAUAGUACUGACCAAACAGUCUGAAAAACUGACCCUCAUGUUGUGGAGACAAGUUUAAAAGCUGUGUAACUUUCUAGUGUUUAUGAAUUCACGGUCAUCUUUCUACUUUGAAAAGAGCAAAGUUUUUGGAGGUAAUAAAUGUCAGUAGUCAUUCUCUGACCACAGAAAACUCAUUCUGCAAAGCAGAUCUUUAUAGUGUCCAGGUGGAUCGUUCACUUCUCUAUUCACCAAGGAGAGUUUCUCAACAGGGAGUUCGCAAGUAAAUUUAUUAAGUCUUGAACCAGGCUUCAGCAACGAACUAAGUGUUCUUUAGUUAUCUUCUUGCCAAGAGAGAUAAACCUUUUUUAUGACAGUAAUCAUUUAAGAAAAGGGAAAAAUUAUUUUUUAUCUUAGCUACGUUACUGAGCCUGCAAGCCAGCAGUAAGCAUUGCUGACUCAUUGAAGGUAAUCCUGGCAGGUGAAUGGGGCCCAAUGAAGUCUCAAGUGCUGCUGUGAUAGCCUGCUGUAAUGUGGAAUAUUAUGAAUACCUUGAUUUACACAAUCUGCACUCCUGUUAAAGAAUUUUUUUUUUAAUAGUCUGAAAUUAGAGAAGAGUCUGAUACAAGACUGGAAAAUUAAUCUCAGGAAAUUGAUGCUUUUACUCUGCAUCAAAUGAGGUGCCAAAGCAUGGUGUUUUGUUUUGUUUUUCUCUGAUUAGGCAUCAAGGCUGUUUAGCAGUUAAAAUACAAAAGAUGUUUCUCAUCAUUUUAUUCAGAAAGGGAGACUAUAAAGCACAAGAAUUAUGCCUCAAUAAAUGUAAUUUCUUA